GGAUGAAGAACGUAGCGAAAUGCGAUAAGUAGUGUGAAUUGCAGAAUUCAGUGAAUCAUCGAAUCUUUGAACGCACAUUGCGCCCUUUGGUAUUCCUUAGGGCAUGCCUGUUCGAGCGUCAUUUAAACCUUCAAGCUCAGCUUGGUGUUGGGUGACUGUCCGCCGCCUCCGGGCGGUCGGACUCGCCUCAAAUUGAUUGGCGGCCGGUACUUUGGCUUCGAGCGCAGCAGAAACGCGAACUCGAGGCCGUCGUCCUGGCUCCCAGAAGCUAUCUUCACAAUUUUGACCUCGGAUCAGGUAGGGAUACCCGCUGAACUUAAGCAUAUCAAUAAGCGGAGGA
rnacentral:misc_RNA from 1 species